rnacentral:rRNA from 2 species
ACUCUGGUAUUGAUUGGUGCUUGCAUCAUGAUUUACAUUUGAGUGAGUGGCGAACUGGUGAGUAACACGUGGGAAACCUGCCCAGAAGCGGGGGAUAACACCUGGAAACAGAUGCUAAUACCGCAUAACAACUUGGACCGCAUGGUCCGAGCUUGAAAGAUGGCUUCGGCUAUCACUUUUGGAUGGUCCCGCGGCGUAUUAGCUAGAUGGUGGGGUAACGGCUCACCAUGGCAAUGAUACGUAGCCGACCUGAGAGGGUAAUCGGCCACAUUGGGACUGAGACACGGCCCAAACUCCUACGGGAGGCAGCAGUAGGGAAUCUUCCACAAUGGACGAAAGUCUGAUGGAGCAACGCCGCGUGAGUGAAGAAGGGUUUCGGCUCGUAAAACUCUGUUGUUAAAGAAGAACAUAUCUGAGAGUAACUGUUCAGGUAUUGACGGUAUUUAACCAGAAAGCCACGGCUAACUACGUGCCAGCAGCCGCGGUAAUACGUAGGUGGCAAGCGUUGUCCGGAUUUAUUGGGCGUAAAGCGAGCGCAGGCGGUUUUUUAAGUCUGAUGUGAAAGCCUUCGGCUCAACCGAAGAAGUGCAUCGGAAACUGGGAAACUUGAGUGCAGAAGAGGACAGUGGAACUCCAUGUGUAGCGGUGAAAUGCGUAGAUAUAUGGAAGAACACCAGUGGCGAAGGCGGCUGUCUGGUCUGUAACUGACGCUGAGGCUCGAAAGUAUGGGUAGCAAACAGGAUUAGAUACCCUGGUAGUCCAUACCGUAAACGAUGAAUGCUAAGUGUUGGAGGGUUUCCGCCCUUCAGUGCUGCAGCUAACGCAUUAAGCAUUCCGCCUGGGGAGUACGGCCGCAAGGCUGAAACUCAAAGGAAUUGACGGGGGCCCGCACAAGCGGUGGAGCAUGUGGUUUAAUUCGAAGCUACGCGAAGAACCUUACCAGGUCUUGACAUACUAUGCAAAUCUAAGAGAUUAGACGUUCCCUUCGGGGACAUGGAUACAGGUGGUGCAUGGUUGUCGUCAGCUCGUGUCGUGAGAUGUUGGGUUAAGUCCCGCAACGAGCGCAACCCUUAUUAUCAGUUGCCAGCAUUAAGUUGGGCACUCUGGUGAGACUGCCGGUGACAAACCGGAGGAAGGUGGGGAUGACGUCAAAUCAUCAUGCCCCUUAUGACCUGGGCUACACACGUGCUACAAUGGAUGGUACAACGAGUUGCGAACUCGCGAGAGUAAGCUAAUCUCUUAAAGCCAUUCUCAGUUCGGAUUGUAGGCUGCAACUCGCCUACAUGAAGUCGGAAUCGCUAGUAAUCGCGGAUCAGCAUGCCGCGGUGAAUACGUUCCCGGGCCUUGUACACACCGCCCGUCACACCAUGAGAGUUUGUAACACCCAAAGUCGGUGGGGUAACCUUUUAGGAACCAGCCGCCUAAG